UACGGAAGGUGCAAGCGUUAUCCGGAUUCACUGGGUUUAAAGGGUGCGUAGGCGGACAGGUAAGUCAGUGGUGAAAUCUCCGAGCUUAACUCGGAAACUGCCUUUGAUACUCUCUGUCUUGGAUAUGGUGGAGGUAAGCGGAAUAUGUCAUGUAGCGGUGAAAUGCUUAGAGAUGACAUAGAACACCUAUUGCGAAGGCAGCUUACUACGCCUAUAUUGACGCUGAGGCACGAAAGCGUGGGGAUCAAACAGG
rnacentral:rRNA from 1 species